GCAAGAGUAGUAUAAUGGUUAGAGCAUCGGACUAUGCCUCUGGAGACCAGGGUUCAAAUCCCUGCUUGGCCA